AGAUCCGGAAGCAGAAUUCCAGAAACGGGAAGGUAUUUGCCCAAAGCCACGAGGGUGACUUUAGUCGUAAGGCCCCAUCAUGAAUAUGUCUUAGAAUAUGCGUCCUUUUAUGCACUGAGUUCGUUCGUCCUGUUGUGUGCGCUUAAUGGCCAAGAGGUUUCAUUUAACGCUUCUUCCAGCGCAUAAAUCCUGAGGCUUAGUUGGCUAUUUUGUGCCUUCGGAGGUCUGAUGUACCAUAUCCUAGAUUUAUCUGCUGUAACCUAUGACCAGUGAGGGGGUGAGCGCAGGUUCAUAUUACCUGUUUUGUGCCACAGAGCACUGAGCCAGGUCAGGGGAGACUCAUGUAAGUGGAUUAUGAUUUCCAUCUUAGAUUUUGCAGAAUACUGGGAUAAACAUACUGGGAUUCAAAGGAUUAGAAAGUUGGAGGGGAGAGGAAAGGAGAGAUUUCAAACGUGAUCAGAUCUGGCAACAGUGGAAAAUGGAGUGAAGACAAGGCAGGGAAACUGAAUAGGAUACUGCUGAAGGGGAUGAAGAUUACAGCUGGGGGAAUAGAGAUGAGGAGGUAAAUAAAGAGGCUAACAAGAGGCCAAACACAGAAUUGUUGGAUAGCUAGUUAUGGGAGUCAAAAGAGGAGGAGAAAUUAAGGAUGAUCCCCAAGUUCCAGGUUUGGCAACUCAGUGAAUCGAGAUAACAUUUUAAUAUAACACAGGGGAAGAGGAGCAGUUAGGAGGUAAGCAUUGAAUAUGUUGAAUUAGAGCUGUUUAUAAGUUAUCUGGACAGAAGUGUGGGUUCCAGAAAUAUUUAGGACACAGAAUCAACAGUACUGGAUAAAAAAUGGCAUGUAAGGUUGAGGGAAAUCAAGACCACAGUUAAUCUCACAGGCCGCUAGUGUGGGUAGCGAUAUUGAUUCUUAAUCCUCAACAGAGAAAUCAGAAGCGGGGGGGUUAAUUAAGUGGGCAAAGGUGAUGAGCUCAUCUCUGCCUAAUUUCAUGUGCCUGUGGAACAUCUAUGCAAUCAGUAGAUGGAGACGUUGAGAGACAACCCACAAAGAGAAUUGGGCUAACCUUACAGGAGUUUCAUUGCCCUAUGCAUAAUAGCAAAAGCUGGAGGAGUGGACAAAAUCACUCAGAAUUUGCAGGAUGAAACAACCAAAGAGCUAAAGACCAAACUCUGAGGAACUGCAAAACUUAAAGGAAAGAAAUUGGUGGGGGGGUGGGGGGUGGGCUCCACUGUGGCAUAGUGGGUAAAGCCACCACCUGCAGUGCUGGCAUCCCAUCUGGGCUCUGGUUUGAGACCCAGCUGUUCCACUUCUGAUCCAGCUCUCUGCUGUGGCCUGGGAAAGCAGUAGAAGAUGGCCCAAGUUGUUGGGUCCCUGCAACUUUGCCUUUCAAAUAAAUAAAUAAAUCUUAAAAUAAAAAAGAAAAGAAAAGAAAGGAGUUGGAAGAAGGAACUGCCAAGUACAUGAAGAAGAAAUAAUAUGACCCCCAACCCCCAUCUCAGAUUUACACCCCAGAUUGCUAAAUCACCCAGAGGCUCAGAGACUUGGCCAGGAGCACCUGUAAAUGACAGGUGGGGCCAGGGCUACGAUUCAUGCCCUCUUCCCAAAUACUGGGGAACUUUGUUCCCACCCUCUCCCCACUUCCUGUCACAUUUAUCUUGGUGCAAACUGCAUUCAUUUUAAACAUGUUUGUCAACAUCCUCAACACAGGCGCAGAGAUACCACCUUUCUACAUCCAACAAAUGUGCUUAUUAUUCAUUCCUUAGGCUGCAUUUGGGACCUGGCCAUGGGUUCCAAAAGUCCCUUUCACAUUCCCCAUCAUGGCGUUCAUGAAUUCUUAAUAAACUAGCUAUUUAUGAGGCUCCCUGUAGCUCACACUGAGUCCCUUGAGAGGAUGAGUGCAUUUUGUUCCAUUGCCUGGCAUAUAGAGCUUCCGAAAGGUUUCUUGACCAGCUGAAUGAAUUAACAAAUUAUACGCUCUACUUCACAAACCUGCAUCCUGGGCAGAGAUAUUGAACUGAGGCUUGUUCUGUUUUUAAUAAGAUGUAGUGAGGAAUCAAAGAAAACCCAGGGGACUUGGAGUCAGAGCAGAGUAUCUUAACAGCACGACUCUGAUUCUUUCUAACUGAUACUUCAAACCAGUAAGUCUUCGUUUCUGUUUGGUUCUCUGUUGCUGCCAACCAAACCACCUUGGGAGAUUCACUAUGGCUCACUGGUUCUGCCUGGCAGUUGAUUCUGGCUUUCAGCUGAGAGGUCAGCUGGAACUGUUGGCUGGAGCCCUUGACAUGUGACCUUUCCAUAUGGAUUUCACACCUUACUGUGUGUUGGCACGUUUCUGAGAGGGAGCGCCUAAGUGGGAGCGCUUCCAGAGAAAUGAAGUGGGAGCUGCAAGUCUUUAAAAUGAGGCGGAAAAGGAGUUGCAGUAAGUUCUGCCACAUUUUAUUGGUUAUCAUAGAGCUAGCUCAGAUUCAAGUGAAGGGGAAAUGAACUCCAUCUAUCAAUGGAGGGAGUGAUAAAGAAUUAGUGGCCAUCUUAACCCACCACUCUUUCCAUAGUAAUACUUGAUCUGCCAUGGUCACAAGGUGGUUGUGAGACUUAAAAAGUCUGAAUCACAUGAGAGCACUUUGUUAAAUUCUAAAGAGGUAAAUACAUGUUUUUAUUUUUUUCUGUCCCACACCUUUCUCUACAACUGUGGCACAGAAGCAGUCUUCCAGGCCACAGGGGUAGGUGUGUGACCCAGACUGUACAAACUGCAGUACUGUCUCUCCCUUGCCAUUGUGAUUGACCCAAGAAUUGGGUCCAUCACCUAAAUUGGGCCAAUUAGUUUUUCACAGGAAUUUUUUUUUAAAGACUCUAUUUGAAAGGCUGAGUUACAGCAAGGCAGAGGCAGAGAGAGGUCUUCUGUCCACUGGUUCAUUACCCAGAUGGCUGCGAUGGCUGGAGUUGGGCCAGUCCAAAGCCAGGAGCCAGGAGCUUCUUCCAGGUCUCCCACGUGGGUGCAAGAGCCCAGGGACUUGGGCCAUCUUCUGCUGCUUUCCCAGGCCAUAGCAGAGAGCUGGAUUGGAAGUGGAGCAGCUGGGACUCAAACCAGUACCCAUAUGAGAUGCCAGCACUGCAGGCGGUGGCUUUACCUGCUACACCACAGUGACAGCCCCCGGAAUUUUUCUUACUGGGGCCAGCAGAGUUCAUGUUGGGAUAUGAACCUGGAGCUUCCUCAGGUAACUUCCCCAACGUGUGAUUCCCCAGGAGCUGAUCUGAACGAUGGAUUCCGUCCUACAGCAGCAGCAUGUGGAACGAAUCUGGCCAGCAUUCAAGUGCCUGCGUUGAAUAUGGUUAAGAUCUUGGACCCAGCAUUGGACUGCCUGGUUCCUUCCUUCAAUCAAGAAUGAAGGUGACAUAAGGUGUGGACAGAAAUUCCUUGUCCCAUGAAAAACUCUCCAAAGAAUGCAUGGGUGAAAAGAGGCAGAGUUACAGAGAGAGAGUGAGAGGAAGAAACAAGAGAGAUCUUCUAUCUGCUGGCUCACUCCCCAAAUGGCCACAACAGGCUGAAGCUAGGAGCCAGGAGCUUCAUCUGGGCCUCCCACGUGGGUGCAGGGGCCUAAGUACUUGGGCCAUCUUCUGCUGCUUUCCCAGGCACACUAGCUGAGAGUGGGAUGCCUAUAUGGGAUGCCUGCUUAACCCACUGUGCUACGGUGCUGGUCUCUGAAUUAACACUGUUAAUCAUAGAAGUGGUUCUUGAUAAAAACAUUAGUUCAGUCCCACCCCUGACCCCCAGCCACUCUUGCCCUUUGUUUUUCCACAAUGGGAGGACACAACUCCUUGACCUCAGACUUCCCAGCCUCCAGAACUAUGAGAAAUGAAUUUCUUUUCUUUAUAAAUUAUACCAUCAAGGGUAUUCUGUUAUAGCAACAGAAGACUAAGAGCACUUCACAAUGCUAUCUAUUUAGUAAAAGUUCAAUAAAGGUAGGCAGUGUUAAGCACAGAAUCCCUAGGGCCAGAGCACUGUAGGGGCUGCUGUAUGAAAGUGCAUAAGCAGGGACUUGGAAGCAGCAGGCAGCACAUUAGUCCCACCUGCUCCCUACUCUUGCACCAAUUCUUUGGGCAAACAUAAGCAAUGAACAGGUUGCCUCCAUCUGAGAGGACUUCAGGGAGUUCUAGGACAAAGGAUAGAUAAACAGUUUUCAAGUAUUCCAGUUUUUUUAAAAAAUCACACCUUAGAUCUCAGCUUCAGCUAGAUGAUGCCCAAGGUCCAUUAAAACCUAAGUUUUAAAAAUACACAAGGUACAAAAUCCAAAAUGUGUGAAAGGAUUUAAGCACAGUGCAGUGAAAAGUAAGUCAUCCUCCCACCCUGUCCCAUCUCCCCAGAGGAAACCCACAGUAUAUAACUAGGUUCCUCUACAGUGUGUUCUAAAUGCAGAAUGUGAAACCUCCUUCCAGAACAUUCCAUGCUCCUUUAAACCUUUAAAAAAUAGCUGUAUAUGUUCCCUUUUAUUCAGUUUGAUAAUAUAGCUUCCAUGGCUAUCAUUGCUAGUCUGAUGAUGACCCCACCAGCUGCUCACAAGCAAAGCAUGGUGCAGAACACUCUGGGGAGCAUCCAACGCAAGAACAUGGAGUAGAUAGCACACAGAACAUACAGGCGGGGCUGGGGUAGCAGCUGAGAGUGCCCUGCUCACAUGCUGAUGCAGCCCUACCCACCCAGUCUUGCUUUUUCUUUCAUUGCCUUGACCACAGAGAUGCAAGAUAAUGCUGCAUUAGGCGAGAUCCAUGUGAUUAGCAGGUGGGAGAGAGGAAGCCACCCAUGCAUGCUGGUCAGAGGCAUGAAAGGGCUGUCUCCUUCUGUUCCAAGGGCCAGGAGAGAUGUCUGCUAGUGCUGGGAGGAGGUAAAGCUCAACUAGAAAGUGAACGGGAAUGCAAGGCACAGAGCGUCACCCACAUUGGAGGCUGGGAAACUGAGAAUGUAAAUGCUUUUCCCGCUCCUGAUUCUCCAGAAGAACCUACUUGUGUAUUCUUGCCAAAGGCGGCUUCAUUACUUUUGCUGUUCCACAUAUUAUCCCCUUCCAAUAAUAUGGUAUGUGUUGAUUGUUGAUUUUGCUGAGAUGUCCUCAUGGGGCUGCUCAGCCCCAGUUUUACAGCAUGGUCUGAUUUCAGUAAUUUUAUAAGGCCAGCUCAUUAGAGCUGAGUUGAGGGGCCCCAGAACAGAAAAAUAAUCUGCUAAGCCAUCCAUUUAAAAUGACAAUAAUAAAAAUGUUGAUAAACAUCAAUAUUUGCACCAUGGUUUACGAUCACCUUUAACGAACAAUUCUGCUGUGAUCGUUGAAUGAUUUUCUUUAAUAAAUGACUUCCCUGUUGUCAGAUUUGAUCUUGACUCAAUGUGAUUAUGCAACCCUACCAUGUGUGCGCUUGAAUUUAAAAGCCUCUUGGCUGAGUUCCACAACUGAACUCAAGAGUUAGAUUCUUUAAGGAUUUUUUAAGUGAUCAUCACCUUUAUGCAUAAUUUGAGGUGGAGGUUGUUGUAAAUUUAAGUUGGAAAAUUAAAAUCUUUUUGGGAGUCAGGAUGGUAGCUGAAUAAGAUGCUCCACCAAUCUUCUCCCCCAAAAGACAGAAAUUUGAACAGCUAUUCACUCACCAAUGUACCUUCACAAGAGCUGGGGAAGCAGGUGAGAUACCACAGUGCCUGGUUUUAGUAUAACAGUAAGAAAAGAUGUGUUGAAGAAGGCAGAAAGAAAAGAGUUGCCCAUGACUUCACUUCCCCAGCUCCAAGCUGCACACUUUGGAGAGACACACCUCCCACUUGGGUGAGGGAAGGUAUUAUUAAGUCCAGAACUUAGUACCAGGUCCACCAUGGUGAAACCUAGUGACAGGCAGAGGCUCCACAGCCCCUGUCUCCAAGUCAGUACCCAGGCAGCCAAGUGACUGCUUCCACCAUCAACCCCUGCCACCACCCCACAACAUUGGGCAGCACCAUGUGGCAGAAGACUGGGUGUGUGAGAAUUGAACAGGAAAGUGAGCAAAGACUAGAUGUUGCAAAGCAUAGGAGAAACAUGGUGGCAUUACUAAGAAGGGAAAUAAGUGCAGAGCAUCUCUUGUUGUCUUGAUAAUAAGCCUGAACCUAGAGGGCCUUGCUCGGCAGGGAAAGGGUGAACAGAAACCCCCCUUCCCCGACCCCCACCCCCACUCAUGCUAUAGACACUUGAGGCAUUUAUCAUGAGAGGAUCCUGUGGCUCUCGCAGGCCGCAGUCUGGGAGACUAUUGGGUUACCACAGCUCUGCAUUGCCUCAGAGAAGGAGCUCAGCCCAUGUUGUGCCUUCCUCCACCCAGGUUCUGGUUUAUGGAACCAUAUCGAGACCCCCUGUCCCCAACACACUACCAGUUCCAUUGACCAAGUUCUGUGAACCAUCCAGAAUGCCCUCCCAUGGCCCAGGGAAGAAUCCAGGGAGCACAUCCUACAGCCUGCAACAGCCCCCCAGAAAACAGUUGGGCAUCCACACCACCUUCUUUCUUUCUGCCCCAGAAACAGCCUGGUGGCCUCACUCAUGAAUCCCCAAUCCAGGAAGCAACCAGAUGACCAACCCAGAGUGACUAGGCCCACAGCAGCCCAAGGAAGUUGAUGAGCAGUCCUGCCCACUCACCCACAACCCUGAGAAGAGGCCAAACAGCCUUUCUUCAGUGACUCGGCUUCCCAAAGUCCCUGGGAAGUAACAAGGCAGCCCUACCCUCCCUCCUGUGACCCCCAGCAGCUGUUGAACAGCUGUUCUCAGAAGCACCACCCACUGCAGCUCUGUAAAGCAGACCCACAGCCUCACCACCCUCCUUCAGCCCCGGGAAGCAGCUGGAGGACCUCCCUGAGCAGGUGGCCCCUGGAAGCCCCACGAAGUCACCUGUGUAGCCCUUGGACACUGGCAGGUACCCAUCUAGGUACACCAGUGUGCCUGGCUCCCAUGCGGCUUCAGACACUGAUGGGCAACCCAUCCCAUUACCAGGCACACUGAAUCACACCCACCUGGGCCUAGAGUGGGUGGUGGUUUCUACCUCACGUGUCCCUUAGAAACUGAUGGGCACCUCACACUUACAGCCAGGCACACCACACCCAGAACUGCCGGUGAAUCCGCCUUACCUAAGGGAAUUGCAUCCUAACUGGCAGUGAAGUCACAGAACUCUUGCAGCUUAAGCCACUGAGACGCACAGACAUCACCAACUUGAUUACAGCUGAAGGAGCUACAGAUACUACCCUGAAGCAUCCUGGAACCAGAGCCAAUGCAACA